rnacentral:rRNA from 1 species
AUUGAACGCUGGCGGCAGGCCUAACACAUGCAAGUCGAACGAGUGGCGGACGGGUGAGUAAUGUCUGGGAAACUGCCUGAUGGAGGGGGAUAACUACGGGAAACGGUAGCUAAUACCGCAUACCAUCAGAUGUGCCCAGAUGGGAUUAGCUAGGUGGGGGGGUAACGGCUCACCAAGGCGACGAUCCCUAGCUGGUCUGAGAGGAUGACCAGCCACACUGGAACUGAGCCGCGGGUCAGGCUCCUACGGGAGGCAGCAGUGGGGAAUGUUGCACAGUGGGCGCAAGCCUGAUGCAGCCAUGCCGCGUGUAUGAAGAAGGCCUUCGGGUUUUACAGUACUUUCGGCGGGGAGGCGUUACCCGAAGAAGAAGCACCGGCUAACUCCGUGCCAGCCGCCGCGGUAAUUG